CUGAAAACCAACAGCUAGCCCAUCUUCUAAACCCAACACAUAAAUAUUACUAACCCC
rnacentral:tRNA from 1 species